AUUUAUCAAAAAUAAUGUGAUACAAAUUCUAUCUCAAUUUACAAUUAACAAAUAAUCUGAUUACAUAUUCAUAAUCAGCCUAUAUCUAAAUAACUAAUGAUGCAAAUUAUCGUUAUAUAAUUUGCCAUUGAUUAUUUCUUAUUUUGCUACUACUCUCCUUCUUUUUCUCUCCUUUUAUUCCUCUCAUUCUUUUUCUCUUCUUUCUUGUAAAUUCUCCUUUAUUUGUUUUUAGCAAACUCUAAUAAUAAGGAGGAAUAUUAUCCAACAUUAUCUUGGGAAUGAUCAUCCCGUAUCUUAUAGUACAUGAGAUCAAGAAGAUGCCCAAGUUUGGAUAUUGAAACAUCCCUACUUUUACCAUCUCCUAGCAUCUUCACAACUUCUGACAUUUGAGGCCGAAGAUCGGCUAUCUCUUGCACACAAAGCAAGCCCACCUUAAGAAGUUCGAUAGGUUCUUCUUCGGGGUAAUCUCCGUCAAGUGAGGGAUCCACCAGCUGUUGAAGGUUAUUAGAUUUGUAUGCAUCUUUUUGCUCUAAGUUGCAGUCCACGGCUUUGUGUCCGCUAACAAUAUGCUAUCCCAAAACUAUAUGAGCGCACCCCAGUUACUCUUCAUGAGUAACGUUCUUUGUUUCUCUAGUGGCAUUUUGGAGAUUAUUUGCAUCUUUGGUUGCUGAGUGGACAAACGUGGGGACAUGCUUUAGUGGCAUUUUGGAUGCUUAGUUGGCAAUUUUUGCUAAGUAUUUGUGAUGGCGUUAAAAGUUAAACAAACGAUUGCUUCUGGGAGUAAACCCAGGAAAUACACAAUUCCUACUUCUCUCUAUCCAAGGUGAUUCCAGAUCUGGCUUUGCUCCUGGUUUGAGGAGAUUUUCGUAUUUAAUCAUCGGUGAAUUGAAGUAGAGGUUAGUCAAUUUGUUUCAUUACCCUCGUUUAUCUAGUCUAAGGUUCUUUGUUGUGGGUUGUAAUCAUGUGUGAGUUGCGAAAGGAGUUUUUUUUUUUUAGUAAUUGAACUUAAAUUUAUGAUAUAGUCAUGUGGUUUAAGUUGUUUCUUGUGAUUUAGGUGAUUCUUCUGUUUGUAUU